AUUGAACGCUGGCGGCAGGCCUAACACAUGCAAGUCGAACGGUAGCACAGAGAGCUUGCUCUCGGGUGACGAGUGGCGGACGGGUGAGUAACGUCUGGGAAACUGCCCGAUGGAGGGGGAUAACUACUGGAAACGGUAGCUAAUACCGCAUAACGUCGCAAGACCAAAGUGGGGGACCUUCGGGCCUCACACCAUCGGAUGUGCCCAGAUGGGAUUAGCUAGUAGGUGGGGUAAUGGCUCACCUAGGCGACGAUCCCUAGCUGGGCUGAGAGGAUCGCCAGCGACAGUGGAACUGCGACACGGGCCACACUCGUACGGUAGGCAGCAGUGGGGAAUAUUGCACAAUGGGCGAGAGCCUGAGGCAGCCAUGCAGCGUAUAUGAAGAAGGCCUUCGGGUUGUAAAGUACUUUCAGCGGUGAGUAAGGCGGUGAAGUUAAUAACUUCACCGAUUGACGUUACCCGCAGAAGAAGCACCGGCUAACUCCGUGCCAGCCGCCGCGGUAA
rnacentral:rRNA from 1 species